rnacentral:rRNA from 1 species
GGGGUGACGGCGUGCCUUUUGAAGAAUGAGCCUGCGAGUUAGUGGCAUGUGGCGAGGUUAACCCGGGUGGGGGAGCCGUAGCGAAAGCGAGUCUGAAUAGGGCGUUUGAGUCGCGUGUCCUAGACCCGAAGCGGAGUGAUCUAGCCAUGGGCAGGCUGAAGCGUGGGUAAGACUGCGUGGAGGGCCGAACCCACCAACGUUGAAAAGUUGGGGGAUGACCUGUGGUUAGGGGUGAAAGGCCAAUCAAACUCCGUGAUAGCUGGUUCUCCCCGAAAUGCAUUUAGGUGCAGCGUCGUGUGUUUCUUGCCGGAGGUAGAGCACUGGAUGGUCUAGGGGGCCUACAAGCUUACCGAAAUCAGCCAAACUCCGAAUGCCGGUAAGUGAGAGCGCGGCAGUGAGACUGCGGGGGAUAAGCUUCGUAGUCGAGAGGGAAACAGCCCAGAUCACCAGCUAAGGCCCCUAAGCGUGUGCUAAGUGGAAAAGGAUGUGGGGUCGCAUAGACAACCAGGAGGUUGGCUUAGAAGCAGCCAUCCUUGAAAGAGUGCGUAAUAGCUCACUGGUCAAGUGGUUCCGCGCCGACAAUGUAGCGGGGCUCAAGCACACCGCCGAAGCUGUGGCAUUCACGCGUGUACUUCGCAUGGCCUUUGGGUUGUGUGUAGGUGUGUGGAUGGGUAGGGGAGCGUCGUGCCGGGGGUGAAGCAGCCGAGUGAUCGAGUUGUGGACGCGGUGCGAGUGAGAAUGCAGGCAUGAGUAGCGAAAGAAGGGUGAGAAACCCUUCCGCCGGAUGACCAAGGGUUCCAGGGCCAGGUUAAUCCGCCCUGGGUGAGUCGGGGCCUAAGGCGAGGCCGAGAGGCGUAGUCGAUGGAUAACGGGUUGAUAUUCCCGUACCCGCGAAGGAGCGUCCCUGAUGAACUUCGUUGUGCUAACCAUCCGAGCUUGGUGUGGUCUUCGGACUGUGCUGGGGGAGCGUGGGAACCUGGCGGGUAGUAGUCAAGCGAUGGGGUGACGCAGGAAGGUAGCUGAGCCCGGCCGGUGGUUGUGCCGGGGUAAGCGUGUAGGCUGUGUCGUAGGUAAAUCCGCGGCGCGUGUGGCUGAGACGUGAUGCCGAGCCGAUUCAGGUGAAGUCAGUGAUCCUAUGCUGUCGAGAAAAGCCUCUAGCGAGUUCCGAGCGGCCCGUACCCUAAACCGACACAGGUGGUCAGGUAGAGAAUACCAAGGCGAUCGGGUGAACUGUGGUUAAGGAACUCGGCAAAUUGCCCCCGUAACUUUGGGAGAAGGGGGGCCGGAGACGUGAAGGCACGUGCUGCUGGAGCGUUGUAUGGCCGCAGAGAGCAGGGGGAAGCGACUGUUUACUAAAAACACAGGUCCAUGCGAAGAAGUAAUUCGAUGUAUAUGGACUGACGCCUGCCCGGUGCUGGAACGUUAAGGGGACCUGUUAGUCUUUCGGGGCGAAGCGGAGAACUUAAGCGCCAGUAAACGGCGGUGGUAACUAUAACCAUCCUAAGGUAGCGAAAUUCCUUGUCGGGUAAGUUCCGACCUGCACGAAUGGCGUAACGACUUCCCCACUGUCUCAACCACAGGCCCGGCGAAAUUGCAUUACGAGUAAAGAUGCUCGUUACGCGCGGCAGGACGGAAAGACCCCGGGACCUUUACUAUAGCUUGACAUUGGUAUCUGAAUUAGCUUGUGUAGGAUAGGUGGGAGCCGGUGAAGUGUGCACGCCAGUGCAUGUGGAGGCAAUCUUGAAAUACCACUCUGGUUGGUUUGGGUAUCUAACUUCGGACCGUUAUCCGGUUCAGGGACAGUGUCUGGUGGGUAGUUUAACUGGGGCGGUUGCCUCCUAAAGGGUAACGGAGGCGCCCAAAGGUUCCCUCAGCCUGGUUGGCAAUCAGGUGUUGAGUGUAAGUGCACAAGGGAGCUUGACUGUGAGACUGACGGGUCGAGCAGGGACGAAAGUCGGGACUAGUGAUCCGGCACUGGCGAAUGGAAGCGGUGUCGCUCAACGGAUAAAAGGUACCCCGGGGAUAACAGGCUGAUCUUCCCCAAGAGUCCAUAUCGACGGGAUGGUUUGGCACCUCGAUGUCGGCUCGUCGCAUCCUGGGGCUGUAGCAGGUCCCAAGGG